AUUGCUUAUAUAUUGUAUGUUUUACCUCUUCAACUUUCUUAAUGGGUAGCCACCCUGAAUAUAUAUUUUCUAUUUAUUUCAGUGUUUCCAGACUCAUUUUUGUGAGGCAUCUUGGUGGUGUGUUAGCAGUUGCUAAUAUCAAGGAGGCGGUGAAUAUGGAGAAACAUGGCAUGAAUCUGGCAUGCUGGCCCACAAGCAAAACUGCUUCACUGAUUUCCAGACUGCUGCUGAAUAUCUUAUCAGAAAGGGCUACACAUCCCCUAGCAAAAUUAGCAUUAAUGGAGGCUCCAAUAGAGGACUUUUAGUGGCUGCAUGUGUGAACCAGAGACCUGACUUGUUUGGUUGUGCUGUGGCUCAGGUUGGGGUCAUGGAUAUGCUGAAGUUUCAUAAGUUUGCUAUAGGUCAUGCUCAGAUCUCAAAGAACAGUAUGAGUUUUUAAUUAAGUAAGUAAUCUGUUAUUCACCAGUAUGCAAAGUGCCAGCUGAAAACACUACAGUUACAGAAUUGUUUUAUACACAAAUAGUUUCACUUUGAAAGAUUUACAGUACCUAACAAGUGAACCAGUACAUUCAACUAAAUUUGGUAAUUGUUUGUACAAAUCUUCAGGAAAACAGCUUAGCUUUAUUUUAUAGAAACACAGUUGGUGAUCCUCUUUUUGCAUAUGUUUGUUGGUAUGCCUGAGAUUCCUUGCUCUCAUGAUGAGAAAAUAGAUCAACCAAAAGACCUGUCUGUGAAAACAUACAAGAUUGCAUAACUUAAACACGUGGCCCGUGUCCACUGCUGAUGUGCUUCUCUUCCAUCAGUUUCUCUUUUACAAUUUUUGAAGUCAAAUCUUUUAAAUGGCAUUAAUUGUAACCAUUGCAGAGCCAGUAAAAACUAAUAUAAACCUAAUGUGCAUUGCACAGGAAUUUAUUGCUAAGAGUGUUGAGUAAGGCUGACAUGAAGCGUUUUCAAAACCAGGUUUUAGCAAGAGAUUAAAUCUACUUCCCAUAAACAUUGCAACUAAGAAGCCUGUAACUUCUAUUGCAUAUAUAAAACCAAGUCACCAGCUGUGUUUUUAAAUUAGUGUUUCCUUUUGUAUGAGGUAUCCCUGUGUAAUAUGGUCUGAUUUAAAUAUAAACAUGUUAAAAAGUUUGAGGUUUACUAACAUGCAGAUUACCUAUUCCAGGCAAUGUAAAGUACAAACAUUGCACAUGCAUGCAUGCAUUGUGAUAUACAGUUAGAAGAAAGUUAUUUUGAAACCCUUUCCUAUAACAUCCACCUGUUUCUUAAUUACAAGAGUAAAGGAUCACUGUUUGUAAUUGUAAUUAAAAUUGUCUAUCUUUUUUUUCGUUUGGUUCAUUAAAUGAGGUGUAAUCUCUAAAGGUUUUACAUAGUGUGAUUUGUCAUCCGUGGCAUGAUUGAGGUGGUAGGUGUGAUGAAGUGGAAUUGUAUUGCUGUAGCUUAGCCAGAGUGACCUAAAACAUGGGUAAGAGUGAGGUACGGGAAUGAACCCUAUGUGAAUUGCUUUUCGGCUGCAAGUCAUUAAACAGGGAAGUGGCAAUUAGCUUUUGGAUACAGCUUGAAGAAACUUUAUUUAAUUCAAUUAUUGAACAGACUUUCCUUCUCAAUGCCAUUACCCACCAUUUGCAGUGUAAUGUUUGAGGUAAAAUCUGUGCUUGGAAAAAUAUGAUAUAUGAUCUAAGCAUGAAACACCAUUCUUAUUGUUAGCAAGAGUGAAGAUGCAGUUAGGCAAAGGGGUAUCUAUAUUCAAUAAUGCAGCAGUGUGGCGUAGUGGUUAGGGCUCUGGACUCUUGACUGGAGAGUUGUGGGUUCAAUCCCUGGUAGGGGACAUUGCUGCUGUACCCUUGAGCAAGGUACUUUACCUAAAUUGCUCCAGUAAAAACCCAACUGUAUAAAUGGGUAAUUGUAUGUAAAAAUAAUGUGGUAUCUUGUAAAAAUAAUGUGAUAUCUUGUAACAAUUGUAAGUCGCCCUGGAUAAGGGCGUCUGCUAAGAAAUAAAUAAUAAUAAUAAUAAUAAUAAUAAUAAUAAUAAUAAUAAUAAUAAUAAUAAUAAUAAUAAUAAUAAUGCUGUGUUUAUUAAGUAUUGGAGAGACUGAGGGAUUGAGGAUGUAAAGUGAUCAAGGGGGAGAUGAUUACUUAUCCAUUGGAGGGAAAGACUAUUGUUAUCCAGUAGGAAGCCAUUCAAGGCUGAGCAAGCAUAUUCACUGUAGUCUCUGAAACCUAAUAAAGGUACACUAAUAGAUUACAGUGGCACCCAAUGAAUACAUAUACAUGCAAGUUAUAAUUUGUAAUAAGCAUAUUUGUCAGGGUCUGUGCUUGAAUUGAGUAACAUACUAUUUGAACUUGUUUUGCCACCCGGUGCUUUUUGAAAUACAAAAUGUUUUCUAGAAUCAGUGCAGCAAGUCAUUUGACCAAUUAUUGGUUCUUUCUUAACUAGAAAUCAAUGGUGAAGCGCACUGAACAUGAGCUCUAAUUCACUCAAAGCUCAUUGGCAAUUUAAAAUGAUACGUGCUUGCUUUUGCUUUUUGUCUAGGGUGGUAACAGCAUGUAACUCAACAUGAGUUUUAAAUAGGCAUCCUAGUGGGUGCAGAGCAUUUUGUAACUCGAGACAGCAGUUGCAAGUAGGAAAUCAAGUACUACUGUGGCACACACAUUUAAAGAAUAUUAAAUGCCCCAGGAAACAAGCUCUGACUGGUUUACUUUAGAAAGCUGCUGGUGAGAAGCAAAUGGGGACUAACAUAGGAAGGUGGCGGCUACAGAGGACUGUGACAUCUGAGAAAUAUCCAUGAACAUUCACAAUACCUGAACAGCAGAUGGUAUUCUCCUCUUCAUAAUAUCAAGGUGCCGGAGGAGGAUGGAGUCCAGUACCCUUCCAUGCUGUUGCUCACUGGAGACCACGAUGACAGAGUGGUGCCACUGCAGUCUGAAGUACAUCGCUACCUUGCAGCGGACUGUCCUAAACAGACCAACCCCUUGUUCAUCCAUGUUGAUACCACGUCAGGGCACAGUGCAAGGAAGCCAACCAGCAAAGUCAUACAGGAAGUGGCCGACAUGUUUGCCUUCAUUUCAUGGAUUAAAUAGGAACGCUGCAGUUCUCUCUAAAAGGAAAUAGAAUUAAGGGCUUUGAUAACUGCAAGAAUAAAAAAUACAUCUGGUUCUUUACUUACAUUUGAUAGUUUUAGAUACAGAUGCUUUUUAGAUUUAUUAAUCCAGAUUUUAAAAAUGGGAUGGUAAAAUGGGAACGUUGGCAUACUAAAAUAAAUCAAACGUUUUUUUGUGUUGGGUUUCUAUGUGAGAAAUGCUGAAAGUUACGGUUACAUUAAAUGCAGCUCUAGCGCACCCUACGUAUUUUGUAGAAAGAACCAGUUACUUAUUAUUGAUUAACACUAGCACAGAAACGGAAGAACAGUUGACUGCCAAACGUUUCAUUCGAUUCUGAAAGCACUACAGUUGUCUAAUUAGAGUCUUUUAUUCUCUUUAAUACAGACCCAAAGUUACAAAUAUGUUUAUGUUUGUACAAUAACUUACAUGAUGGUUCAUAGUUACAUUACUUUAUGGAUUUCACAAAUCAGCACAACAAAACCUAACAGCAAAAAGUAAUAUUGUGUUCUAUAAGUAAUCAGCUGAAAAGUAAGUUUAAUAUAAUAAUUUUUAAUUGAAUAUAUUAAGUAUUGUUCCACAGUAACAGUAUCAAUGCCAUGGAAUACAAUUGUAUGUAUUCCAUAUUUCUUUUUAUGGAACAGGUCAUGUUUAUUCACAUAAGCUUACAGUAGUGGUGAUGCACUUUAACAACACAAGACCAGAGGUUCAAAUGCUAUGUAAAGCAGGUUGAUACAGAAAAUAAUAUUGAGAGCAUGUUAUUUGUUGAAAAACAGUAUUUAAGCUUUUAACAAUAUAACUCUGCUGAUUGUUUUCUGUGAUCCUCCUGGGCUGUUUGAUAUCUCAAUUGUUUUUCUUUUUAUUUUUUUAUUUUUUUAGAUUAAAUUGAAUUUCUACCUCUGGACAAACAGUAACUGUGUCCACAUUUACCUCUUUAAAUGCAUGUCAUAGCAACAAUAAACAUUGCAUACUAAACCAUGGUUCUUUGCUUCAAGAC